rnacentral:rRNA from 1 species
UACAGAGGGUGCAAGCGUUGUUCGGAAUUAUUGGGCGUAAAGAGCUCGUAGGCGGCUUGUCACGUCGGAUGUGAAAUCCCGAGGCUCAACCUCGGGCCUGCAUUCGAUACGGGCUAGCUAGAGUACUGCAGGGGAGACUGGAAUUCCUGGUGUAGCGGUGAAAUGCGCAGAUAUCAGGAGGAACACCGGUGGCGAAGGCGGGUCUCUGGGCAGUAACUGACGCUGAGGAGCGAAAGCGUGGGGAGCAAACAGG